AUUGAACGCUGGCGGCAGGCCUAACACAUGCAAGUCGAACGAGUGGCGGACGGGUGAGUAAUGUCUGGGAAACUGCCUGAUGGAGGGGGAUCACUACUGGAAACGGUAGCUAAUACCGCAUACCAUCAGAUGUGCACAGAUGGGAUUAGCGUGUUGGUGGGGUAACGGCACACCAAGGCGACGCUCCCUAGCUGGUCUGAGAGGAUGACAAGGCAAACUGGAACUGAGACACGGUCCAGACUCCUAAGGGAAGCAGGAGUGGGGAAUAUGGCACAAUGGGCGGAAGCUUGAUGCAGCCAUGCCGCGGGUAGGAAGAAGGCCUUCGGGUUGUAAAGUACUUUCAGCGGGGAGGAGUUACCCGAAGAAGAAGCACCGGCGAACUCCGUGCCAGCCGCCGCGGUAAUUCC
rnacentral:rRNA from 1 species